rnacentral:rRNA from 1 species
UUAAUUGAAGAGUUUGAUCAUGGCUCAGAUUGAACGCUGGCGGCAGGCUUAACACAUGCAAGUCGAGCGGUAGCACAAGAGAGCUUGCUCUCUGGGUGACGAGCGGCGGACGGGUGAGUAAUGUCUGGGAAACUGCCUGAUGGAGGGGGAUAACUACUGGAAACGGUAGCUAAUACCGCAUAAUGUCGCAAGACCAAAGAGGGGGACCUUCGGGCCUCUUGCCAUCAGAUGUGCCCAGAUGGGAUUAGCUAGUAGGUGGGGUAAUGGCUCACCUAGGCGACGAUCCCUAGCUGGUCUGAGAGGAUGACCAGCCACACUGGAACUGAGACACGGUCCAGACUCCUACGGGAGGCAGCAGUGGGGAAUAUUGCACAAUGGGCGCAAGCCUGAUGCAGCCAUGCCGCGUGUGUGAAGAAGGCCUUCGGGUUGUAAAGCACUUUCAGCGAGGAGGAAGGUGGUGAGCUUAAUACGCUCAUCAAUUGACGUUACUCGCAGAAGAAGCACCGGCUAACUCCGUGCCAGCAGCCGCGGUAAUACGGAGGGUGCAAGCGUUAAUCGGAAUUACUGGGCGUAAAGCGCACGCAGGCGGUUUGUUAAGUCAGAUGUGAAAUCCCCGGGCUCAACCUGGGAACUGCAUUUGAAACUGGCAAGCUAGAGUCUCGUAGAGGGGGGUAGAAUUCCAGGUGUAGCGGUGAAAUGCGUAGAGAUCUGGAGGAAUACCGGUGGCGAAGGCGGCCCCCUGGACGAAGACUGACGCUCAGGUGCGAAAGCGUGGGGAGCAAACAGGAUUAGAUACCCUGGUAGUCCACGCUGUAAACGAUGUCGAUUUGGAGGUUGUGCCCUUGAGGCGUGGCUUCCGGAGCUAACGCGUUAAAUCGACCGCCUGGGGAGUACGGCCGCAAGGUUAAAACUCAAAUGAAUUGACGGGGGCCCGCACAAGCGGUGGAGCAUGUGGUUUAAUUCGAUGCAACGCGAAGAACCUUACCUACUCUUGACAUCCAGAGAACUUUCCAGAGAUGGAUUGGUGCCUUCGGGAACUCUGAGACAGGUGCUGCAUGGCUGUCGUCAGCUCGUGUUGUGAAAUGUUGGGUUAAGUCCCGCAACGAGCGCAACCCUUAUCCUUUGUUGCCAGCGGUUCGGCCGGGAACUCAAAGGAGACUGCCAGUGAUAAACUGGAGGAAGGUGGGGAUGACGUCAAGUCAUCAUGGCCCUUACGAGUAGGGCUACACACGUGCUACAAUGGCAUAUACAAAGAGAAGCGACCUCGCGAGAGCAAGCGGACCUCAUAAAGUAUGUCGUAGUCCGGAUUGGAGUCUGCAACUCGACUCCAUGAAGUCGGAAUCGCUAGUAAUCGUAGAUCAGAAUGCUACGGUGAAUACGUUCCCGGGCCUUGUACACACCGCCCGUCACACCAUGGGAGUGGGUUGCAAAAGAAGUAGGUAGCUUAACCUUCGGGAGGGCGCUUACCACUUUGUGAUUCAUGACUGGGGUGAAGUCGUAACAAGGUAACCGUAGGGGAACCUGCGGUUGGAUCACCUCCUUACCUAAAGA